rnacentral:rRNA from 1 species
CAGCCGCCACGGGAAUACGGAGGGGGCUAGCGUUGUUCGGAAUUACUGGGCGUAAAGCGCACGUAGGCGGCUUUGUAAGUUAGAGGUGAAAGCCCGGGGCUCAACCCCGGAAUUGCCUUUAAGACUGCAGAGCUAGCAGGUGAGAGAGGUGAGUGGAAUUCCGAGUGUAGAGGUGAAAUUCGUAGAUAUUCGGAAGAACACCAGUGGCGAAGGCGGCUCACUGGCUCAUACUGGACGCUGAGGUGCGAAAGCGUGGGGAGCGAACAGGAUUAGAUACCCCCGUAGUCCCUGUCUCUUAUAC